AGUGAACGCUGGCGGUAGGCCUAACACAUGCAAGUCGAACGGCAGCACAGUAAGAGCUUGCUCUUACGGGUGGCGAGUGGCGGACGGGUGAGGAAUACAUCGGAAUCUACUUUUUCGUGGGGGAUAACGUAGGGAAACUUACGCUAAUACCGCAUACGACCUACGGGUGAAAGCAGGGGAUCUUCGGACCUUGCGCGAUUGAAUGAGCCGAUGUCGGAUUAGCUAGUUGGCGGGGUAAAGGCCCACCAAGGCGACGAUCCGUAGCUGGUCUGAGAGGAUGAUCAGCCACACUGGAACUGAGACACGGUCCAGACUCCUACGGGAGGCAGCAGUGGGGAAUAUUGGACAAUGGGCGCAAGCCUGAUCCAGCCAUACCGCGUGGGUGAAGAAGGCCUCCGGGUUGUAAAGCCCUUUUGUUGGGAAAGAAAAGCAGCAGGUUAAUACCCCGCUGUUCUGACGGUACCCAAAGAAUAAGCACCGGCUAACCUCGUG
rnacentral:rRNA from 1 species